AGCCUGACGGAGCGACGCCGCGUGAGCGAAGAAGGCCUUCGGGUCGUAAAGCUCUGUUGUGAGGGACGAAGGAGCGCCGUUCGAAGAGGGCGGCGCGGUGACGGUACCUCACGAGGAAGCCCCGGCUAACUACGUGCCAGCAGCCGCGGUAAUACGUAGGGGGCGAGCGUUGUCCGGAAUUAUUGGGCGUAAAGCGCGCGCAGGCGGUUCCUUAAGUCUGAUGUGAAAGCCCACGGCUCAACCGUGGAGGGUCAUUGGAAACUGGGGGACUUGAGUGCAGGAGAGGAGAGCGGAAUUCCACGUGUAGCGGUGAAAUGCGUAGAGAUGUGGAGGAACACCAGUGGCGAAGGCGGCUCUCUGGCCUGCAACUGACGCUGAGGCGCGAAAGCGUGGGGAGCAAACAGGAUUAGAUACCCUGGUAGUCCACGCCGUAAACGAUGAGUGCUAAGUGUUAGAGGGGUCACACCCUUUAGUGCUGCAGCUAACGCGAUAAGCACUCCGCCUGGG
rnacentral:rRNA from 1 species